rfam:Triticum urartu cultivar G1812 contig73183, whole genome shotgun sequence.
AUACCUUUCUCGGCCUUUUGGCUAAGAUCAAGUGUAGUAUCUGUUCUUAUCAGUUUAAUAUUUGAUAUGUGGGCCAUGUGCCCACAACGAUAUUAAAUUUAUUUUUUAUGGGGGAGGGACCACCACAGUGGCUUGCCAUUGGGUCUUUCGGGUGUCGCCCAGUGCGUUGCACUAUUGCCUGGGCAGGCGCACCCCAA